CCCGGUUUGUUUAGCCAGGGCCUUUUCCUGCUGAGUCAUCUCACCUUCCUGCUGAAUCAUCUCACCUUUUUCCAAUCUUUUCAUUUUUUUACUUUUUCAACCUAGCUUCUGGAUAGCAGGUAUAUUCCAUGCUCUGACAGCAGGUGGCGCUGUGGGCAAUUUUUAUCAGGGUUGCCUAGAAACCCGGAGUCUGGUGAAGGCAUCACGUGAGCAUGAUACUGUCAUAAAUCCGAUUUAGGAGCCGAGAAUUCCCGCUUAGCAGCUUUUGCCGUGUGAAAAAGAUUCGAGAUGAACAACACACCCUUCCAAGUAAGUCCCAUUUUACAGGUGGAAUUUUCUGUGUUCUGAAAAUGAAAAAAACAACAACAACAACAACAACAACAAAAAAAACAUGUUUAAAGGACAAACAAAUGGCCUCUGACAGAAUAUGAAAGUUUAUAUUUGGACUUAGCUGUUUAUGACCAUACAGGACUUCUCACGUCCUGGCUCCCUGCCUUUCCCACCGUUGUGCUAAAGUGUCUGUUCAAGUUGAAUGCAGAUUUGUCAAAGGCGGUAUCCGCACAUUGCUGGCCACCCUUGAGUGAGAACAUGAUUAUCAAGGAGACAGCAGAGUGGGUUUUAAACCGAGUGUACUUCAUGUCUUCAUUUCAUGUCUUCAUGUCUGCGAAGUGUGUGCUUGGAAAGAUACUUCUGGAAUGUUCUUCAACUCUGUUCCGAUAAAACAACGGCGUUUACUGCUUUCCUGAGGUCCCUGAGGCAAUAGUGGUGACCGUGAAAAUGGCAUGUUCCUAAAUGUCUCUCAUGGUGGGCUCUCCAGCCAGAGGAAGGGACCCCCACCCCCCAGACGAGAGUCUGAGCAGUAACACAUCUGAGCCUGGGACAUCUUCCAGAGUAUAGCAUGAGACACCUGCCAGUCUACACUAUGGUGGGAAAUCUCCAUGUGGAAAAUGGAGAGACAGAGCAGCUGAGGAGGGCUGAAAUCCAGGCAGUGUUAAUCAACUCCUUCUGCACAAAGUCAGUGGUUCUGCCUGUCCCCACUCCUGAAGUGCUGGCCUGGCUGCACAGCUGCUCAGAGCCCACAGGAGGCACCUGGAAGAGGGUGACUCUAGACUCCUUGUUUCUGAAAUAGGUUCUCAGUAGGCAGCCCCAGCUGUUCUGAAACUCCAUAUAUAGGCCAGGCCAGUCUCAAACCUGCCCCUGUCCCCUGAAUGCUGAGCGUAAAGACGUGUGCCAUCGAGUCUGGCUUGACUUCAAGACUUAUCAAGACUUACCAAAUGUUGAAUCAAGGUUAACUUUGGGUCCGUCUGUCUGCCUGGAGAUGGUACCAGGGUAAGUGGAUCAACAAGAACCCACAAUGUAACUGCACAGAGUUCAGGUCUCUGCCUCUCAACGAAGACGAUAAAUCUAAGGGAAGUGACAAAGGAAGGGAGAGACUUAUUAACAGGCGGUGUGUUGGAAACCGGCUGACAGAGCAAGUAAGAAAAGAGACAAAAGGUGAGUUUCCAUGCCUUGGGAAAAGAGGAACUUCAAGGGACCUGACCAAGCAAACCGUCAACAGUGUAGGGCCAACCCAGAGCCCAGGAUCCUGUGAACCUACAACUUUCUCCUUCUUCACAGACUGCUGAAAUCAGUAUUGGAAGCGGAUUCUGCUGAGACCUUGGCGGCAAGUGCUCUACCACUGAAUGUACCCUCAGCGCCAUACAAGGAAGGGAGAAAGCCUACACCAUGGCAGACUAAUAUGGCUGCACUGGGCUAGGACGUGGCAGUCAACGACAAUGCCAACAUUGUGUUGUGCCAGGAUUCCACAAUACAACUGGGAAACUGCAGAGAGAAGCCUAGCAAUAUUUCCCUCCUCUUCCAGAGAGGGCAGAGAGGAACUCCGGACUCAAGCCAAGGCUAGCUCCAUCAGUGCACCGGUCAUAGCUGACCUCAGAAACCAGGGGAAUUCUGAGAGCCACCAUGCUGCCAGUUUUGGGUGGUAUAAAGAAGCAAUUGAAGUUGCAAACACAGUAGAAGUCCUGCGUGUCCUUCAUGUCAUCUCUCCCACCAGUGACACCUUAAUAGAACUGUGACCCCAGACCUGGAAGCUGGUGCUAGUGCCACGUGUGGAUUGUUCUACUUGCCUCACCCGGAGUGGCUGUAUACAACCAUCCAGGACUGACAAUCACCACCAAGCCCAGCUGCCCUGCUGACCCCAUCCUGCCCUCACCACACGGCCACUGGGCAAGGGGAAUCUCUCCUUGAUUUCUACUUAAAGCAUGUAGUAUAAAUGAAAUUGGGCAUAA